UACGAAGGGGGCUAGCGUUGUUCGGAAUUACUGGGCGUAAAGCGCGCGCAGGCGGUUCUUCAAGUCAGAGGUGAAAGCCCAGAGCUCAACUCUGGAAUGGCCUUUGAGACUAGAGAACUAGGGUACGGGAGAGGUGAGUGGAAUUCCGAGUGUAGAGGUGAAAUUCGUAGAUAUUCGGAAGAACACCAGUGGCGAAGGCGGGUCUCUGGACAGUUCCUGACGCUGAGGCGCGAAGGCCAGGGGAGCAAACGGG
rnacentral:rRNA from 1 species